AUCGGAGGAGCAGUGCCUGCCCAGCGCCCACCCAGGCUUCCCUUGUAGAACAAAGAAAAAAUUCUCACGUAGCUGGGCUCCCGUAUACGCGCGCCCGGCCGGCCUCCUCCACAGCCAGGGCAGGACUCGACCGCGCGGGGCCGGCCGGAACAAGAGACCUAUUUUGCAUCCAUGAUUAAUCUUUUCUGUGUUGAUUUAACUAUACAAUAAGCUCAAUAGAUGCUUUCCUGUCAAGUACCUGUAAAAAUAUAAAACGAUUUUUUUUCCAGAUAAAAAACACGGAGUACAAAUGAGCAUGGCUAUAUUUUAGGCGUCUGAUUUUUAAGGAAAAAACUUCAAAAUAGUCGCCGCAUCAGAACGUGUUGUCCUUGGUUAAGAUUCGAUGAUCAAACACGUCCACUGAUCUCUGACUAAACUAAAAAAAAGAUGACUUCUUAAUAGCAAAACCGAAAGUACUCUUCAUAAUUUUAUGGAACAAAUAUAGACCUAAAAUUAUUCUAGUUUCAGGUUGCUUCGAGUUGAAGAUGUACGCAAAAUCCUCAAAGCACUAGAGCCUUAGGGAAUAUCUACACUAGUAAGUUCUUUUCCUUUCUUCUGGACAUGCUUAGCAGUGUAGAUACUCCCUAAGGCUUCGGUCGUAUUGGAUUGUUGUGGACAUUUGAGAAUCGUUGCAUGCAAAAGUGCUAAGCAUGCCCAACCUCCCCAGUGCCUGACACCUCCACCGCUCGUGGCUGCCUCGCGAUUCGGACACAGCUGCCAUUUUCCCCCACGCCUGAUUUUUCAUCCGCGUUUCUCACCUGUUUAAUCCUUCGAUAAAGCUGACCUCCCCUCCUGCGCCUCUGCUCCAUCGGCGUCGAGCAGAGCGUUUUGGGGAUGAAGAAGCACAUGGAUUUUGUAGUCGCAAUAACUUCCAGUGUUGCCUUUCGUUUGGAUCUGAAGAUAGUGCUUGUUUGAAGGGGAAACAUCCAUCAGGAUGAUACCUGUGCUUAGGCUGCUACUUGCUCUACUUCAUUCUUCUGGACUUGUCUGCUUUAGUUAUUGAUGUGUACUACUUUUGUUCUUUGGUACAGGUCUGGUACAAGGAUUAGAGCAUUAUACUUGUACAAAAAAAAAAA
rnacentral:precursor_RNA from 1 species